rnacentral:lncRNA from 1 species
UAUUUACUUGGGCAGAGCUCCAGAUAAGAAUUCACAAAUUGGGUUUUUUACCCACCAUUUUCUUAUAUAAUUGGGUGAUAAAGUUUUUUAAUUGCAUUAUCAAUUCCAAUUCACCCCUCAUGUUAAUAUCAAAUUGGGUUUUUCACCACCAAGCUCCUUAAUGUAUUGGGUUUUUUCAUCAACACAAUAUUGAAUAUUUAGGCAAUAUCAACCCCAG